CGAACGGGUGAGUAACACGUGGGUAAUCUGCCCUUGACAUCGGGAUAGCCCGGGGAAACCCGGAUUAAUACCGAAUAGCCUCCGGAGCCUUCGGGCGCCGGAGAAAAGGCAGCUUCGGCCUCUGGUCAAGGAUGAGCCCGCGGCGGAUUAGCUUGUUGGCGGGGUAACGGCCCACCAAGGCGACGAUCCGUAGCUGGUCUGAGAGGACGAUCAGCCACACUGGGACUGAGACACGGCCCAG
rnacentral:rRNA from 1 species